rnacentral:rRNA from 1 species
GACGAACGCUGGCGGCGUGCUUAACACAUGCAAGUCGAACGGAAAGGCCCUGCUUUUGUGGGGUGCUCGAGUGGCGAACGGGUGAGUAACACGUGAGUAACCUGCCCUUGACUUUGGGAUAACUUCAGGAAACUUGGGCUAAUACCGGAUAGGAGCUCCUGCUGCAUGGUGGGGGUUGGAAAGUUUCGGCGGUUGGGGAUGGACUCGCGGCUUAUCAGCUUGUUGGUGGGGUAGUGGCUUACCAAGGCUUUGACGGGUAGCCGGCCUGAGAGGGUGAACGGCCACAUUGGGACUGAGAUACGGCCCAGACUCCUACGGGAGGCAGUAGUGGGGAAUAUUGCACAACGGGCGGAAGUGUGAUGCAGAAACGCCGCGUGCGGGAUGACGGCCUUCGGGUUGUAAAAAGCUUUCGCCUGUGACGAAGCGUGAGUGACGGUAAUGGGUAAAGAAGCACCGGCUAACUACGUG